CUGAUGUGGUGAAGAUGGCCAGUAAAGCACAAGCCUCCAACUUAGUUGUUGAGGGACAACCACCCACAACACCAAAGAGGCGAAGAAGAGGAAGGCCCCCUCUCAACCAAGAUUCAGAAGCCCUCUGAAGAUUCCCAAGACAACCCGGAAGGGAAAAGAGAGUCUUUGAGAGAGUUCCAGGAAAAAAGCCACUCCUGAAAGACCGCCGCUUCAAGAAAACCUGAGGAAGGGAGAGGGCCAACGCUAUCCAGCCACUCUGACCAGCUGAACGAGGAACUCAAUCAAAAGGAGCCACAGCAGGACCAGGAAAGUGAGGAGACUUCCACCAUCUCCAGCGUCUCCCUGGACAGCCAGUAAUUUCAGGGCAAGUUCAGAGGACUAGAUCUAUCUGAGAGGUCUCCAUAAGUCUAACCCCAGAGAAAUAGCCAAAAGGGUCUAUGGUACAUUUUACACACCACAGGGUACCCCUCAUGGUGAUGAAA
rnacentral:lncRNA from 1 species